UCCGUAGGUGAACCUGCGGAAGGAUCAUUAAUGAAAUUUAUGACUGGAGUUGUAGCUGGCCUUUAAAAACGGCAUGUGCACGCUCCUUUCACUAAUCCACACACACCUGUGCACCUUCGCGGGGGCCUCUUUGUUAACUCGAAGAGGCUCGCGUCCCUUUACACACCCUUUGUAUGUCUUAAGAAUGUCUACUCGAUGUAAUAAAACGCAUCUAAUACAACUUUCAACAACGGAUCUCUUGGCUCUCGCAUCGAUGAAGAACGCAGCGAAAUGCGAUAAGUAAUGUGAAUUGCAGAAUUCAGUGAAUCAUCGAAUCUUUGAACGCACCUUGCGCCCUUUGGUAUUCCGAAGGGCACACCUGUUUGAGUGUCGUGAAAUUCUCAACCCUCUUCAUUUUUUUUAAAGUGAACGUAGUGGAUUGGACUUGGAGGUUUUGCCGGGCUUCACCGCUCGGCUCCUCUCAAAUGCAUUAGUGCGUCUUGUUGCGACGUGCGCCUCGGUGUGAUAAUUAUCUACGCUGUGGUGCGCUUGCUUCUGUGGAGACGCGCUUUCUAACCGUCCGAAAGGACAGCUUUCAUCGAACUUUGACCUCAAAUCAGGUGGGACUACCCGCUGAACUUAAGCAUAUCAAUAAGCGGAGGA
rnacentral:rRNA from 1 species